ACUUUAUUUCCUUCAAGCCAAGAUCGGGAUUAGAUUGGGGAAAAAGAAAAGUGGAUAAAUAGUUAAUCCCUUUUUUGUAACAGUGGCAAUAUCAGUUUGGGCUUUAGCCCAUCUCAAUACAAAAAUAAUCAUGUGUUUGGGCCUUGGCCCAUUUUAGUAACAAUAAUCAGUGCAGUAACAGUUUAAACAAUAUAUAAGUCCUACCCAUCCAGCCUCUACACUCCAACUCCGUCCAACCCUACACUCCAUGUGGGGAUAUAAUC
rnacentral:lncRNA from 1 species